CGGAGGAUCCAAGCGUUAUCCGGAAUCAUUGGGUUUAAAGGGUCCGUAGGCGGGUUUAUAAGUCAGUGGUGAAAGCCCAUCGCUCAACGAUGGAACGGCCAUUGAUACUGUAGAUCUUGAAUUAUUAGGAAGUAACUAGAAUAUGUAGUGUAGCGGUGAAAUGCUUAGAGAUUACAUGGAAUACCAAUUGCGAAGGCAGGUUACUACUAAUGGAUUGACGCUGAUGGACGAAAGCGUGGGUAGCGAACAGGAUUAGAUACCCUGAUAGUCCACGCCGUAAACGAUGGAUACUAGCUGUUCGGAGCAAUCUGAGUGGCUAAGCGAAAGUGAUAAGCAUCCCACCUGGGGAGUACGUUCGCAAGAAUG
rnacentral:rRNA from 1 species